GACGAACCGUGCGAACGUUGUUCGGAAUCACUGGGCUUAAAGGGCGCGUAGGCGGGUUCGCAAGUCAGGGGUGAAAUCUUUCAGCUUAACUGGAAAACAGCCCCUGAUACUGCGAGUCUCGAGGGAGGUAGGGGCAUGUGGAACUUCCGGUGGAGCGGUGAAAUGCGUAGAUAUCGGAAGGAACGCCGGUGGCGAAAGCGACGUGCUGGACCUCUUCUGACGCUGAGGCGCGAAAGCUAGGGGAGCAAACGGG
rnacentral:rRNA from 1 species